UACGGAGGGGGCUAGCGUUAAUCGGAAUUACUGGGCGUAAAGCGUGCGCAGGCGGUUCGUUGUGUCGGCGGUGAAAGCCCCGGGCUUAACCUGGGAAUGGCCGUUGAAACUGGCGAACUGGAGUGUGGCAGAGGGGGGUGGAAUUCCGCGUGUAGCAGUGAAAUGCGUAGAGAUGCGGAGGAACACCGAUGGCGAAGGCAGCCCCCUGGGCUGACACUGACGCUCAGGCACGAAAGCGUGGGGAGCAAACAGG
rnacentral:rRNA from 1 species